rnacentral:rRNA from 1 species
AGAGAGAGACAUGCGCGCAUAUCAAUAAGCGGAGGAAAAGAAACUAACAAGGAUUCCCUUAGUAACGGCGAGUGAGGCGGGAAGAGCUCAAAUUUGAAAUCUUCAAGGUUUUACCUUGACGAAUUGUAGUUUAAAGAAGUGUUUUCUGCUGAAGUUUUGGUAAAAGUUCUUUGGAAUAGGACAUCAUAGAGGGUGAGAAUCCCGUAUUUGACCAUUAUUUUCAGCUUUGUGAUACACUUUCAAAGAGGUCGGAUUGUUUGGGAAUGCAGUCCAAAAUGGGUGGUAAAUUUCAUCUAAAGCUAAAUAUUGGCGAGAGACCGAUAGCGAACAAGUACCGUGAGGGAAAGAUGAAAAGAACUUUGAAAAGAGAGUUAAACAGUACGUGAAAUUGUCAAAAGGGAAGCGUUUGACACCAGUGUUGUUUUCAUCGAAAAUCAAUUAAAAAUGGCUCGAUUUUGUAUUGCUUGAGACCUUAAAAGCUCACUGUACAUUUUUCGUGUCUUUUUUAAUGCACUUUUCGUUUAACAAGUCAACAUCAGUUUCUUUUGUUGUAAAAGGGUCAUUGGAAGGUGGCUUUCUUUUCGGAGAAAGUGUUUAUAGCCUUUGGCCUCUGCAAUCGGAGAGACUGAGGUCUGCAGCGUAGACUCUUCGGGGUUAGAUACAUUUGUGCUAAGUCAUAGCUUUUUAUAGACAACUUGUUGACUAUAAUUAGUCUUGUAGCUUACUCGCUUAUGCUAUUUUACCUACGCUUAGGAUGUUGAGUCGUAGAGCACGCA